CAGCAGCCACGGUAAUGCGAAGGGGGCUAGCGUUGCUCGGAAUGACUGGGCGUAAAGGGCGCGUAGGCGGCGAUCAAAGUCAGGCGUGAAAUUCCUGGGCUCAACCUGGGGGCUGCGUUUGAUACUUGAUUGCUAGAGUGGGGAAGAGGGUCGUGGAAUUCCCAGUGUAGAGGUGAAAUUCGUAGAUAUUGGGAAGAACACCGGUGGCGAAGGCGGCGACCUGGUCCUUGACUGACGCUGAGGCGCGAAAGCGUGGGGAGCAAACAGGAUUAGAGACCCCCGUAGUCCCUGUCUCUUAUAC
rnacentral:rRNA from 1 species